AACGAACGCUGGCGGCAGGCUUAACACAUGCAAGUCGAACGCAUCGCAAGAUGAGUGGCAGACGGGUGAGUAACGCGUGGGAACAUACCCUUUUCUACGGAAUAGCUCUGGGAAACUGGAAUUAAUACCGUAUACGCCCUACGGGGGAAAGAUUUAUCGGGGAAGGAUUGGCCCGCGUUGGAUUAGCUAGUUGGUGGGGUAAAGGCCUACCAAGGCGACGAUCCAUAGCUGGUCUGAGAGGAUGAUCAGCCACAUUGGGACUGAGACACGGCCCAAACUCCUACGGGAGGCAGCAGUGGGGAAUAUUGGACAAUGGGCUCAAGCCUGAUCCAGCCAUGCCGCGUGAGUGAUGAAGGCCUUAGGGUUGUAAAGCUCUUUCACCGAUGAAGAUAAUGACGGUAGUCGGAGAAGAAGCCCCGGCUAACUUCGUGCCAGCAGCCGCCGUAA
rnacentral:rRNA from 1 species